rnacentral:rRNA from 1 species
UCCUCCCUCUUUCUUCGUGCUUAACACAUGCAAGUCGAACGGACAGGCCCUGCUUUUGUGGGGUGCUCGAGUGGCGAACGGGUGAGUAACACGUGAGUAACCUGCCCUUGACUUUGGGAUAACUUCAGGAAACUGGGGCUAAUACCGGAUAGGAGCUCCUGCUGCAUGGUGGGGGUUGGAAAGUUUCGGCGGUUGGGGAUGGACUCGCGGCUUAUCAGCUUGUUGGUGGGGUAGUGGCUUACCAAGGCUUUGACGGGUAGCCGGCCUGAGAGGGUGACCGGCCACAUUGGGACUGAGAUACGGCCCAGACUCCUACGGGAGGCAGAAGUGGGGAAUAUUGCACAAUGGGCGGAAGCCUGAUGCAGCAACGCCGCGUGCGGGAUGACGGCCUUCGGGUUGUAAACCUCUUUCGCCUGUGACGAAGCGUGAGUGACGGUAAUGGGUAAGGAAGCACCGGCUAACUACGUG